rnacentral:lncRNA from 1 species
CCCCCCCCCCCCCCCUCUCUCUCUCUCUAAAAACCCUUUUCUCCCAAACCUCUCUGUCCCCUUUACCACGAGAUUCUUUCUCCUUCACAAAAAAGAAAUUUUUUUAGGGUUCCUCUUCUCCAAAAAAAUUCUAAUUUUCCUAUAUUCAUGAACCCCCAAAUAUAAAUACUUAUUAUUACAGCUGUCUUUCUACAAAAACCCAACUGGGUUUGUUCAGUAUAAGCUUAAUUGUUAUACGGUUUGAUUUUGGGCGGAGUUUUUGAGGUGGGAUUUUUUUUUCUCCAUAUUUGCGAUGCAAAAAUCCGAUCUUUAUCACUGUCCGAUGUGAUGACUAUUUUCAUCAGUCAAUGGCUUUGACUCUCCUACUUUUUUUGGUUUUUGUCGUAAACCCUCUAUCGAUUUCGGGUUAUUCAGACGAUGAUUCCGAGUUAAUUCUAUUCCAUCAAGACUAUUCCCCGCCGGCGCCGCCACCUCCGCCGCCGCACCCGCCGUCGGUAUCAUGCGAGGACGAUCUUGGCUUGGUAUUUUUCGUUAACCCUCUAUCUAUUUCGGCUUAUUCAGACGAUGAUUCCGAGGUAAUUCUAUUCCAUCAAGACUAUUCCCCGCCGGCGCCGCCACCUCCGCCGCCGCACCCGCCGUCGGUAUCAUGCGAGGACGAUCUUGGCGGCGUUGGGUCGUUGGAUACAACUUGCAAGAUUGUGUCCAAUGUGAAUAUCACUAAGAGUGUGUAUAUAGAAGGGAAGGGAAAUUUUUAUGUC